GAUGAACGCUGGCGGCGUGCCUAAUACAUGCAAGUCGAGCGGUAAGGCCACUUCGGUGGUACACGAGCGGCGGACGGCAGAGUAACGCGUAGGAAUAUACCCCGAAGUGAGGGAUAACUGCCCGAAAGGGUGGCUAAUACCGCAUAUGAUCUUAGGAUUAAAGCUUUUAGCGCUUUGGGAAUAGCCUGCGUUCGAUUAGCUAGUUGGUAAGGUAAUGGCUUACCAAGGCGACGAUCGAUAGCUGGUCUGAGAGGAUGAUCAGCCUGACUGGAACUGAGACACGGUCCAGACUCCUACGGGUGGCAG
rnacentral:rRNA from 1 species